GACGAACGCUGGCGGCGUGCCUAAUACAUGCAAGUAGAACGCACAGUUUAUACCGUAGCUUGCUACACCAUAGACUGUGAGUUGCGAACGGGUGAGUAACGCGUAGGUAACCUGCCUGGUAGCGGGGGAUAACUAUUGGAAACGAUAGCUAAUACCGCAUAAUAUUAAUUAUUGCAUGAUAAUUGAUUGAAAGGUGCAAAUGCAUCACUACCAGAUGGACCUGCGUUGUAUUAGCUAGUAGGUGAGGUAACGGCUCACCUAGGCGACGAUACAUAGCCGACCUGAGAGGGUGAUCGGCCACACUGGGACUGAGACACGGCCCAGACUCCUACGGGAGGCAGCAGUAGGGAAUCUUCGGCAAUGGACGAAAGUCUGACCGAGCAACGCCGCGUGAGUGAAGAAGGUUUUCGGAUCGUAAAGCUCUGUUGUAAGAGAAGAACGGGUGUGAGAGUGAAAAGUUCACACUGUGACGGUAUCUUACCAGAAAGGGACGGCUAACUACGUGCCAGCAGCCGCGGUAAUACGUAGGUCCCGAGCGUUGUCCGGAUUUAUUGGGCGUAAAGCGAGCGCAGGCGGUUAGAUAAGUCUGAAGUUAAAGGCUGUGGCUUAACCAUAGUACGCUUUGGAAACUGUUUAACUUGAGUGCAGAAGGGGAGAGUGGAAUUCCAUGUGUAGCGGUGAAAUGCGUAGAUAUAUGGAGGAACACCGGUGGCGAAAGCGGCUCUCUGGUCUGUAACUGACGCUGAGGCUCGAAAGCGUGGGGAGCGAACAGG
rnacentral:rRNA from 1 species